GUGAAUAUAUCUUCUCGGUAGUACAAGUUGACGCAUGCGCACUAGAAAUUUGUUACAUGAAAAUCGCUACUGUGUAUAUACUGUGAUCUCUGGCCUUAUAUUCAAUCGAUUUAAUCUAUUUAGAUUUGUGUCUAUGGUCGAUGUCGGCGGUUCGAAAGCGUCUCGUUAAAUUAGGGUUAUGAUUAUACGUAAGCCGGAGAAUUACAAAAGGAAAUGUUCAUGUAGCUGUCAAAAAAACAGAAUAUUCUUAUAGUUCAUUGAGUUCUUUCUCUAAACAAGUCACAAAGAUUAGGAAUCCAACAAUUUCUCAAGAUGUCUGGUGGUAUGCUGUAUGGUGGAGACGAGAUAGGAGCGUUAGUCUUCGACUUGGGUCAUCAUUCUCUAAGAGUCGGCUAUGCUCAGGAAGAUACUCCGAAGGCGGAGAUCCCGGCAGUUGUCGGGAUAGGGGAGGAUGUGAAUGGUACGGCGACUAAAGUCGAACCUAUGGAUAUUGAUGAUAAAAAGCCUGACAGUAAUAUCACACAAAAUGGGACCAAAUAUUACAUUGACACCACAAUUCUUCACGUUCCACGGAGAAACAUGGAGGUCGUCAGUUAUAUGAAAGAGGGAAUGAUUGACGAUUGGGAUCAUUUCGAGAAAGUCUUGGAUUAUACGUAUUCAAAAAUAAUUCAAUCUGAUGCCGAGUAUCACCCUGUACUGUUUUCCGAAUCGCCAUGGAACGUACGCAGUAAGCGGGAGAAAUUAACUGAGUUGAUGUUUGAGAAGUACAAUGUACCAGCUUAUUUUCUCGUGAAAAAUGCAGUUUUGGCUGCGUUCGCCAACGGUAGAGCCACUGGUAUUGUUGUAGACAGCGGUGCCACGCAUACAUCUGCAGUGCCUGUACAAGAUGGAUUUGUAUUGACACAGGCUAUCGGUAAAUCGCCUCUUGGUGGAGACUACAUAAGUAUGCAAUGUAGACAGUUUUUGCAGGACAAUGAUAUCGACUUAUCACCUCCUUACAUGGUGGGCAGCAAGGAGGUAGUUAAAGACCAUGAUAAGCCACGGUGGGUUAAAAAGAAAAGUUUACCAGAAGUUACCAAAUCUUGGCACAAUUAUAUGGUGAGAAAGGUGAUUCAGGAUUUUCAAGCGACAGUUCUUCAGGUGUCAGAAACACCAUACGAUGAAAAGAUCGUUUCUACGAUUCCCGCGGUUCAAUAUGAAUUCCCGACUGGGUAUCAUCAGGACUUUGGAAGUGAAAGAUUUCGAAUACCAGAGGCGUUAUUUGAUCCUAGCAUAGUACAAAUGCCGCGAGGUAUGGUCGGCAAUACUAUGUUAGGAGUAGGGCAUAUCGUCACAACUAGUGUUGGCAUGUGCGACGUUGAUGUACGACCAGCGUUGUAUGGUAGUGUUGUGGUAACUGGUGGCAACUCGUUUAUUCAGGGUUUUCCGGAACGUUUAAAUAGAGAUUUAUCGAUGAGAAUACCCUCUAGCAUGCGUCUUAAAGUGAUUAGCGCAAACGGAUGCGCUGAAAGAAGAUUUGGAGCAUGGAUCGGUGGUUCGAUAUUGGCAUCGAUUGGUACUUUCCAACAAAUGUGGAUCUCCAGUCAGGAAUAUGAAGAGAGCGGAAAGAGUCAAGUGGAAAGAAAAUGUCCCUAAAAUGCAGUAGCUCCUUUUCAUAUCGUUUCAUCAAUUAGUGUCAGUGUGUUUGUAUGAACGUCGCACAGAGAUGUUAUAUACUUCACGUUGGAAUCGUGAGUGUUCGACCCCACUUAUGGCGAAUGUCGCUAUGAGAACGAGACAGAGUACACAUUCACCCGGAAGCUAUAAUUUUCCUUUGUGACACGUACAUAUAUUUUCUAUGGAAAUAAUAAAUAAGUAUAACAUGAAGUACAAAGAAAACUAUCUGUCUCUUUAAAUGUCUUAUUAGUAAUUAGGGAAGUAGCACUUCGCUCAGCGUAAGUGAAGAAAUAGAAUGAAGGAAAAGUCUUAAACAGUUUGUCUUUGUGUCUUGUUUCUCCAAUAAUGAAUGUUGGACAUAAUUAGCUAUUAUUAGUAUGAAACAUUAAUGAACGGAGGCCAGUUAUAAGGCCUGCAUUUCAUAUUUUAUGUCUCUAGCUAGAUCUUUAAUACAAUAGAAUCUACUAAUUAGAACUCUAGUAAUCAUUCAUUUGUAGCAACAUUCACUAAUUGCCUGUAUAAAAUAAACAGUAAAACUCACUUAAAAAUAUAUAGAAUGCCACAGGUCUUGUGAUCAAGAGCAGUUGGCGUAUGAUACACCGAGUGGUUAAUACAUUUUCAAACAUCGAAAAAUUUAUGACGUUUGUUCGUAGGUCUUUUUAGAGUAUGAUUUCUAUCAAUAUUAACAGUAUAGGUUUGAUAUUUAAAGUGUUAUAUAAAGUUCGUGCUGGUUCCUCUCUUCCAAAACUUUGUUUCCGAUUGCAUAUACUUUUGAUGAAUGAUGGAUAUAAAUAAUUAUAUAUUUAUUAAUAGAAAAGUUUUAAAGUUUGUUGGCCUUUAUCCAACGUGUAUGGUAAGAUACAUUAUAUGUUGUAUGUGCAUGAUUGCUAUUGUUAUACCGCAAGGAAUGCAAAUCUAUCAGAACUGGCAGGAUCUAUCUACUGUACUGGAAACGAGGUAUAUGUUCACUAUUUUCCAUUAUUGAUAUAAAGCUGUAAAUAUUAUAUUACAAUUUCACUAUACUUCCUCAAAGGAUUGGAUGAUCAGAUUGUUCGAAAAUCGUACAUACCUUUGACAUUAGAGAGAGAGAGAUUUAAGAGCUUAGAGAAUUCUUAUGAGAAAAAUAUUUUCAGUUAAUUUGCUUGAAUUUUUUAUACAUUAUAAUUCUUAUAUUAAAAAUAAUUAUCAAAAACCUCAAUUUAUAAAAUAUUUAUCUCUAUCUAGUUUUUGAAUUAAGAGCAUUCGGGAGUUUUUACACACACACACACACACACACACACACACACACACACACACACACACACACACACACACACACACACACA